CAAUAGCGUAUAUUAAAGUUGUUGCGGUUAAAAAGCUCGUAGUUGGAUUUCUGCCGAGGACGACCGGUCCGCCCUCUGGGUGUGUAUCUGGUUUGGCCUGGGCAUCUUCUUGGAGAACGUAGCUGCACUUGACUGUGUGGUGCGGUGUCCAGGACUUUUACUUUGAGGAAAUUAGAGUGUUUCAAGCAGGCACACGCCUUGAAUACAUUAGCAUGGAAUAAUAAGAUAGGACUUUGGUGGUCUAUUUUGUUGGUUUGCACGCCAAAGUAAUGAUUAAUAGGGAUAGUUGGGGGUAUUCGUAUUCAAUUGUCAGAGGUGAAAUUCUUGGAUUUAUGGAAGACGAACUACUGCGAAAGCAUUUACCAAGGAUGUUUUCAUUAA
rnacentral:rRNA from 1 species